rnacentral:rRNA from 1 species
UAGGGAAUCUUCCACAAUGGACGAAAGUCUGAUGGAGCAACGCCGCGUGAGUGAAGAAGGGUUUCGGCUCGUAAAGCUCUGUUGGUAGUGAAGAAAGAUAGAGGUAGUAACUGGCCUUUAUUUGACGGUAAUUACUUAGAAAGUCACGGCUAACUACGUGCCAGCAGCCGCGGUAAUACGUAGGUGGCAAGCGUUGUCCGGAUUUAUUGGGUUUAAAGGGUGCGCAGGCGGCGCGAAAAGUCAGCGGUCAAAGUUCCGGGCUCAACCCGGUGACGCCGUUGAAACUUUCGGGCUGGAGUUCGUGCGAGGGAGGCGGAAUGCGUUGUGUAGCGGUGAAAUGCAUAGAUAUGACGCAGAACCCCGAUUGCGAAGGCAGCUUUCCAGCACGCGACUGACGC